GCUCCAGACUCCUACGGGAGGCAGCAGUGGGGGAUAUUGCACAAUGGGGGAAACCCUGAUGCAGCAACGCCGCGUGAGUGAAGAAGGUCUUCGGAUUGUAAAGCUCUGUUCUUGGUGAAGAUAAUGACGGUAGCCAAGGAGAAAGCUCCGGCUAACUACGUGCCAGCAGCCGCGGUAAUACGUAGGGGGCAAGCGUUAUCCGGAUUUACUGGGUGUAAAGGGAGCGUAGACGGCAGGGCAAGUCUGGAGUGAAAGGCAGGGGCCCAACCCCUGGACUGCUCUGGAAACUGUGCAGCUAGAGUGCAGGAGAGGCAGGCGGAAUUCCUAGUGUAGCGGUGAAAUGCGUAGAUAUUAGGAGGAACACCGGUGGCGAAGGCGGCCUGCUGGACUGUGACUGACGUUGAGGCUCGAAAGCGUGGGGAGCAAACAGGAUUAGAUACCCCCGUA
rnacentral:rRNA from 1 species